GGCCGUUUAGCUCAGUCGGUUAGAGCGUCGUGCUAAUAACGCGAAGGUCAUGAGUUCGACCCUCAUAAUGGCCA
rnacentral:tRNA from 2 species